GAUGAACGCUGGCGGCGUGCUUAACACAUGCAAGUCGAACGAGAAGUGAAGACGGAACCCUUCGGGCGGAAGGCUUUAUUUCGAGUGGCGGACGGGUGAGUAACGCGUGGGUAACCUGCCUCAUACAGGGGGAUAACAGUUGGAAACGACUGUUAAUACCGCAUAAGACCACAGCACCGCAUGGUGCGGGGGUAAAAACUCCGGUGGUAUGAGAUGGACCCGCGUUCGAUUAGCCAGUUGGCGGGGUAACGGCCCACCAAAGCGACGAUCGAUAGCCGAUCUGAGAGGAUGACCGGCCACAUUGGGACUGAGACACGGCCCAAACUCCUACGGGAAGCAGCAGUGGGGAAUAUUGCACAAUGGGGGAAACCCUGAUGCAGCGACGCCGCGUGAGUGAAGAAGUAUUUCGGUAUGUAAAGCUCCAUCAGCAGGGAAGAAAAUGACGGUACCUGAGUAAGAAGCCCCGGCUAACUACGUG
rnacentral:rRNA from 1 species